rnacentral:rRNA from 1 species
ACUCCUACGGGAGGCAGCAGUGGGGAAUUUUGGACAAUGGGGGCAACCCUGAUCCAGCAAUGCCGCGUGUGUGAAGAAGGCCUUCGGGUUGUAAAGCACUUUUGUCCGGAAAGAAAACGUCGUGGCUAAUACCCGUGGCGGAUGACGUACCGAAGA